GACAAUGAAGACUGAGGUGUGUGCUUUGCGCUUUUUUUCUUUUCUUGUCUUUUUUUUUUUUUUUUUUUUUCCUAAUCAUGUGGACAUCUCUGAGAAUGAGGGGACUGGGUGACUUUACAGUGGCUGCUUUCUAAGUUUCAAAGUGACUUUCCAGGCAAGCUGCGCAUAUCUUGGGAUCUUCACAGCACAGUGGCUGGGAAGGCAGGCGAACUUGUCUAUCAGCUUCUCCCUGGUGAGAUUCUUGCGGGGGCAGGGAUUGAGUCAAACCUGGAAAUGACGUCAUUCUGAACUCAUCUGCCUUCAUCCAGAAGACUACCAAAGGGAACCAAAAGACCAGAGAACAGAAGCUGCUCUGGACAAAGAGGGGAGGACACCCCCCCCACCCACCCCCCACACACACCAAGUUCUGGUUGACUUCUACAGCAGUAGGAGCAGGAGACACCAGAAGACUCAGAGGGACUGGAAUAUAAGAAGAUCGGUGCCAGAUGUUGUGAUGACAACCUGUUGGGUUGGAGGACCCCAGGAAGACGCAGUCCAGAUUCACAGAGUGUGUGCCACUCACCUAUUGCCACAUGCAGCACAGAAUAAUGCAGAGGCAUAUGCCACUAGAACCAUUCCUGAAUGGUGCUUUUUAGAAGCUUCUUCUUGAGGUCUGGUACCUGGACCAGUGAGGCUUCUCCGGGGAUGGGACCCCAACCCAGAAUGACA
ensembl:processed_transcript